rnacentral:lncRNA from 1 species
AAUGAGCCGAGACUGCGCCACUGUACUCCAGCCUGGGCGAUAGAGUGAGACUCUGUCUCAAAAAAAAAGAAAAGAAAAGAAAAAGUACAUACCAAAGUUUUGUAUACAGAUAGAAAAGCACCAUUUUCUUUAGACUCUUCUUUUUCACUUUGGGGCUUCUUCUGAAACACUUAAAAAGUGAUCUAAAGGUGAAUUACAAAAUGGUGGACAUGAGGGAACUGAUGGUGUUUUGGGGGCUCUAAGUGCUGUCACUGUCUUUGGUGUAUAGAAUCAGAUUCCAUUCCUUUGGUUAUCAAAUCACUUUGUUCUCAGUCAACAUCAGUUNNNNNNNNNNUCAGUUCAUGUAAAGUAAGUCAACCAUAUUGUGCUGAAAAGAAGCCAAGUUUGUUUUAACUUUUAUUUUUACUAUAGUUUAUAAAGCAGGCACAGUUAUCUACAAUUUUAGAAGAGUAGCUAUGAAAAAAUUUUAAACAACUAUGAAGAAAUCAUGUCACUUAAGGACAGGGAAAUGUUCUAAGAAAUUCGUUAGGCAAUUUCAUUGUUGUGUGAACAUCACAGGGAGUACUUAAACCUACGUGGUAUAGCCUACUGCACACCUGCUUCAUCCAAAAAGCCCCUAGAUCGAUAAAUGAAUUCAGUAAAUGUUUUAGUCUGUUUUCAUGCUGCUGAUAGUCAUAGCGAAGACUGGGCAACUUACAACAGAAAGAUUUAAUGGACUUACAGUUCCACAUGGUUGGGAAGGCCUCACAAUCCUGGUGGAAGAUGAAAGGCAUGUCU